UAGCGCUAAUACCGGAUACUUAAAUAUCUCGCAUGAGGUAUUUAUAAAAGGAGCCUUUAAAGCUUCACAAGGGGAUCGGGGUGCGUAACAUUAGCUAGUUGGUGAGGUAAUGGCUCACCAAGGCGAUGAUGUUUAGCGGGGUUGAGAGACUGAUCCGCCACACUGGGACUGAGAUACGGCCCAGACUCCUACGGGAGGCAGCAGUAGGGAAUUUUCCACAAUGGGCGAAAGCCUGAUGGAGCGACACAGCGUGCAGGAUGAAGGCCUUCGGGUUGUAAACUGCUGUUAUAAGGGAAGAAAAAGUCGAGGAGGAAAUGCCUUGACCUUGACGGUACCUUAUCAGAAAGCAACGGCUAACUAUGUGCCAGCAGCCGCGGUAAUACAUAGGUCGCAAGCGUUAUCCAGAAAGCAACGGCUA
rnacentral:rRNA from 1 species